AUUGAACGCUGGCGGCAGGCUUAACACAUGCAAGUCGAGCGGGGGGAGGUAGCUUGCUACCGGACCUAGCGGCGGACGGGUGAGUAAUGCUUAGGAAUCUGCCUAUUAGUGGGGGACAACAUCUCGAAAGGGAUGCUAAUACCGCAUACGUCCUACGGGAGAAAGCAGGGGAUCUUCGGACCUUGCGCUAAUAGAUGAGCCUAAGUCGGAUUAGCUAGUUGGUGGGGUAAAGGCCUACCAAGGCGACGAUCUGUAGCGGGUCUGAGAGGAUGAUCCGCCACACUGGGACUGAGACACGGCCCAGACUCCUACGGGAGGCAGCAGUGGGGAAUAUUGGACAAUGGGGGGAACCCUGAUCCAGCCAUGCCGCGUGUGUGAAGAAGGCCUUAUGGUUGUAUAGCACUUUAAGCGAGGAGGAGGCUACUUUAGUUAAUACCUAGAGAUAGUGGACGUUACUCGCAGAAUAAGCACCGGCUAACUACGUGCCAGCCGCCGCAGUAA
rnacentral:rRNA from 1 species